GCUGUUAAAAAUAUAUGCAUGUACUAUUUAUUUAAUCAAAUAUGGGAUAUAUGAAUUCUCAUUCUUGUUAAAAAAAUAGUACAUGCAUAUAUUUUUAACAGCUUUUGAAUGUAUCUCGAAGACAUUAAAUUCCUGCCGAUCUCCAAAUAAAUAAAAUUUAUGAGGAUUGAAUUUACAAGAUCACUGCAUCUAUUCCACUUUUCCUUCCACCAGAAUUUCAUAGUCUUCUUGGUCUGUUCUUGUAGUGGACAACUCUGAAAGAAGCAUGACUGAAGCCUCAUCGGCAGUUUCUUGAUGCAGCUGGGGGAUAUCUGAGUUGCCCGGCAUGACGGUACCAGAAGGCACUGCAGGCUGUUCUGUGCCAAAUUUGGUCCAUUUCCUGUCCUUGGCAUAAAUUAAAGUAGGGUAUAAGAUGAACCCCAGAACAAUAACUGCACCACUAAUUAAGAAAGUCCUCAAAGAAGCUAAGCACAUAACAAGAACAAGCAAUGCUGCAGGAGGCAGACAAAGCAUUGUUGCACCAAAUGUUCCCAGUGGAACUUUAUAAGGCCUGUGAAGUUCUGGCUUUUUUAGUCUCAGUUUUAUAAAAGCUGCAAACUCAAGAAGCAUCCCUAUGGCAUAUAAGAAGUUCAGAAAUUCCAGGAUUUCCUGGAAACUCAUCCAUGACAAGAAGAUCACUCCAGUAGCAGAGCACAGUAUGCUAACAGUGGGUGUCCCAUAUUUUGAUCUUGAAGCAAAAAUAGCUGGGAGCAUUCCCAUCUCGCUCAUGCCAAGAAGCUGGAAGGCAUCUCCACUCAUUUCUGCUUCAAACAAACCUAAGUUUGACAUAGCAGAAGCCACUUGGAUCCACCAUUUAAGCCAAGCUCCUCCAAUCAACAUCCCAACUUCUGCAAAGAAUCCAUCAGUCCAUUCACUUGACGAGUUCUUCAAAGCUCCAGUGCCAGCAAGAAGUGGAAUCAAAUAUGAAGAAACCACCAAAAACACAGCCCCGAAUAGCGCCUUUGGGAAUGUCUUGCUGGGAUUUUCAACCUCCCCUGCAAGAGUGCUAGCCUUAUCCCAAUAAUUUAGAUUCCAAAACAUGCUAUUGAAGUAUCCCCUCCAUUCUACCUUCCUAAAAUCUACAGCCACCCAUCGUUUAGGCCUAAUUCGAGGAAUUGAAAGAAUACCCAUUACAGCAAAUGGACAUAGUGAGAAAACAGCAAGGGAAACAGCUGAAAAUCCAACAAUGUGUAGUCCUCUAUAGUUCAAGUAUGUCAAACCUACUGUGAUACAUAAAAGUGCUGGAAUUCGAUAAAUUAAUUGGUUAAAAAUGGGAAGUGAAUGCUUCAAGUAAUCAAGAAACAACACAGGGUAAAGGGCAUUAUCCAUGACCCCACUAAACCAUUUCCAAAACCCUUCUUGGAAACCCCAGAAGUGACCAAAAGCUGAAGAUAUCCAAAUAACAUAUCCACCAUUUUCAGGGAAGCUUGUGGCUAACUCUGCUGUGACUAGAGCCUCAGGAACACUCCAAAUUAAAGGGAAUAUCAAGAAACCAAGCAAAGACAACAAAGGGCCACCUCCUGCCCUCACUG
rnacentral:misc_RNA from 1 species